GCAGGCAGGCAGCCCAUCCCCUGCAGCAAUGCUGGGCUUCACUGGAGCCCCUGCAGGAAGUCCAGCAGCCCUGUAUGCCACUCCUCUGGUUUGUCCAGAUGAGGAAACAGCGGCUCAGAGACACUGAGACACUGCCCAGGUAACAGUGAGGAGCAGCUGGGCGAUGAGGACCACAUCUGGAUCAAGACUGCUCAGAGGCCCUUGCAGUGUGCUUGACCAAAUGCUGUCAAGUUCAGGGCCCAGCCUGGCCGGGUCCUCCAGAUCCCACCGCCCCCACCUCUAGAGUGGGGAGGGGCUGCAUGUUAUAGGAACCUGGCCCUGUCCCUGAUGAGAACUCCCCAACCCCUGCCCAGAAGCCUGCCCCUUAAGUACCUGGCAGGUCAAUGGCCACAGCCUGGUAGCCAGCCUGGGCCAGCCUGUGCAGUGUACCCAGGUUCUGCCAGGUCUCGGAGGAGAAGCGAAUACCAUGCAGUAGCAGUACAGAGAAGUGAGCUUGCCCACUGCUGGGCCGGGCCUCUCGGAAGAAGAGGGCCUGGCCCUGCACCUGGAUGGUGCCCUCGUGCUGCUCCACGCUUGCCGCCAUGCCUGCCGCUGCUGUGCUGGUGAAGGGCCUGUGGUCAAAAGCCACAAUGAUGAGGGGCCACAGAACACCCUGCUCAGGGUGGUGGUCCCACAGGAGCAACAAGGAAGCCUCCAGUUGGCUUCCAGAACUUUAGGAACAUGCUUUGGGGUCAGGAGGACAUAGGUGUUAUUUCUGCCUCUGCCAUUCACUUUAGUGUGUAACCUUGGGCCUCAGCUUCUUGAUCUGAAAUAUGGGAACAAUAAAGCCAACCUCAAUAAUUAA